rnacentral:lncRNA from 1 species
CCAACAAUUAUCGUCGGGUAAUUGUUCGGAUCCGGGUUCCCGGAAGUGUCUAUUUUAACACCGGAACCCACCGUCGCUCGUCAUCACCGAAUCCACUAUUUGACGAUGGUGACCAACCGACAAGGCUUAGCGACAACUCACAAGGCAACCAAACAACAUCGAAAGAAAUUCGAACCGAAACCGCGUUCUUUCAACGAAUUUCGCCGAAAAAUGCACCGAAAUCGACUCCUCGAUUUCCGCAAAAGCUAACGGAU